rnacentral:rRNA from 1 species
CACGCUGUAAACGAUGAUUACUGGCUGUUUGCGAUACACAGUAAGCGGCCCAGCGAAAGCGUUAAGUAAUCCACCUGGGGAGUACGUUCGCAAGAAUGAAACUCAAAGGAAUUGACGGGGGCCCGCACAAGCGGAGGAACAUGUGGUUUAAUUCGAUGAUACGCGAGGAACCUUACCCGGGCUUGAAAUGCAUUUGACCGGCACCGAGACGUGCCUUCCCUUUUAGGGCAAAUGUGUAGGUGC